rnacentral:rRNA from 1 species
CAGCAGUGGGGAAUAUUGGACAAUGGGGGGAACCCUGAUCCAGCCAUGCCGCGUGUGUGAAGAAGGCCUUAUGGUUGUAAAGCACUUUAAGCGAGGAGGAGGCUCUUUUGGUUAAUACCCAAGAUGAGUGGACGUUACUCGCAGAAUAAGCACCGGCUAACUCUGUGCCAGCAGCCGCGGUAAUACAGAGGGUGCGAGCGUUAAUCGGAUUUACUGGGCGUAAAGCGUGCGUAGGCGGCUUUUUAAGUCGGAUGUGAAAUCCCCGAGCUUAACUUGGGAAUUGCAUUCGAUACUGGGAAGCUAGAGUAUGGGAGAGGAUGGUAGAAUUCCAGGUGUAGCGGUGAAAUGCGUAGAGAUCUGGAGGAAUACCGAUGGCGAAGGCAGCCAUCUGGCCUAAUACUGACGCUGAGGUACGAAAGCAUGGGGAGCAAACAGGAUUAGAUACCCUGGUAGUCCAUGCCGUAAACGAUGUCUACUAGCCGUUGGGGUCUUUGAGACUUUAGUGGCGCAGCUAACGCGAUAAGUAGACCGCCUUGGGAGACCCU